rnacentral:lncRNA from 1 species
UCAUGGUUCUUACACAUUCAUGAUAUGCCUUGGCUAUAUCAUCUUCCUGCAGAUGGUUUUCCCAUGUCAAUUUCUUCAAUGCAUAAUCCAAUGGAUUUGUUUCCUAAAAAAAAAAUUAAAUCAUUAAGUCUGAAUACUUGUACUCACCGAAAACCCAAAAACUCCAAUGAAGAUCACAAAGGAUUCACCGAUGUUCAUCUGAGAUUCCAACCCUAGCCACUGCAUUGAGCCCAUCAG